CCUACGGGAGGCAGCAGUGGGGAAUAUUGCACAAUGGGGGAAACCCUGAUGCAGCGACGCCGCGUGAGUGAAGAAGUAUUUCGGUAUGUAAAGCUCUAUCAGCAGGAACGAGACAAGACGGUAACUGACUAAGAAGCCCCGGCUAACCACGUGCCAGCAGCCGCGGUAAUACGCAGGGGGCAAGCGUUAUCCGGAAUCACUGGGUGUAAAGGGAGCGUAGACGGCUGUGCAAGCCUGAAGUGAAAGGCGGGGCCCAACCCCUGGACUGCUUUGGGAACUGUACGGCUGGAGUGCAGGAGAGGUAAGUGGAAUUCCUAGUGUAGCGGUGAAAUGCGUAGAUAUUAGGAGGAACACCAGUGGCGAAGGCGGCUUACUGGACUGUAACUGACGUUGAGGCUCGAAAGCGUGGGGAGCAAACAGGAUUAGAUACCCCAGUAGUC
rnacentral:rRNA from 1 species